rnacentral:rRNA from 1 species
GACGAACGCUGGCGGCGUGCUUAACACAUGCAAGUCGAACGGAAAGGCCCUGCUUUUGUGGGGUGCUCGAGUGGCGAACGGGUGAGUAACACGUGAGUAACCUGCCCUUGACUUUGGGAUAACUUCAGGAAACUGGGGCUAAUACCGGAUAGGAGCUCCUGCUGCAUGGUGGGGGUUGGAAAGUUUCGGCGGUUGGGGAUGGACUCGCGGCUUAUCAGCUUGUUGGUGGGGUAGUGGCUUACCAAGGCUUUGACGGGUAGCCGGCCUGAGAGGGUGACCGGCCACAUUGGGACUGAUAUACGGCCCAGACUCCUACGGGAGGCAGCAGUGGGGAAUAUUGCACAAUGGGCGGAAGCCUGAUGCAGCAACGCCGCGUGCGGGAUGACGGCCUUCGGGUUGUAACCCGCUUUCGCCUGUGACGAAGCGUGAGUGACGGUAAUGGGUAAAGAAGCACCGGCUAACUACGUG